rnacentral:lncRNA from 1 species
UUAAAAGCCGCUCUUUUAUUUUUAUUCCAGGAAUUCUUUCCUAAUAUUUUCAGGGCAUGGCAUGAGGAGUUUGGAGCUCAGUUAUUACCACAUGGGAGAAGCUCAUUCUGCAUUGCGUAAAUCCUCAAGAUGUUUUAAGAGAAUGGGAAAGAACACCUACUGAAAGAUACCUCUUACGGAUAACUGACCUCUAGUGGGGUA